CCCCUGGACAAAGACUGACGCUCAGAUGCGAAAGCGUGGGUAGCAAACAGGAUUAGAUACCCUGGUAGUCCACGCCGUAAACGCUGUCUACUUGGAGGUUGGGGUUUUAGACUUUGGCUUUCGGCGCUAACGCAUUAAGUAGACCGCCUGGGGAGUACGGCCGCAAGGUUAAAACUCAAAUGAAUUGACGGGGGCCCGCACAAGCGGUGGAGCAUGUGGUUUAAUUCGAUGCAACGCGAAGAACCUUACCUACUCUUGACAUCCAGCGAAGCCCUUAGAGAUAGAGGCGUGCCUUCGGGAGCGCUGAGACAGGUGCUGCAUGGCUGUCGUCAGCUCGUGUUGUGAAAUGUUGGGUUAAGUCCCGCAACGAGCGCAACCCUUAUCCUUGUUUGCCAGCACGUAAUGGUGGGAACUCCAGGGAGACUGCCGGUGAUAAACCGGAGGAAGGUGGGGACGACGUCAAGUCAUCAUGGCCCUUACGAGUAGGGCUACACACGUGCUACAAUGGCAGAUACAGAGGGCAGCGAGACAGCGAUGUUUAGCGAAUCCCUUAGAGUUUGUCGUAGUCCGGAUUGGAGUCUGCAACUCGACUCCAUGAAGUCGGAAUCGCUAGUAAUCGUGGAUCAGAAUGCCACGGUGAAUACGUUCCCGGGCCUUGCACACACCGCCCGU
rnacentral:rRNA from 1 species